UCCAAAGGCGGGCUCAGGUGGGUCAGAAACCCACCGUAGAGGACAAGGCCAAAAGCCCGCCUGACUGGACCCCUAAAAGCGUGGGGUCCAGGGGUGAAAGCCGGGCCUAGCGAACACCCGUGCCCCUCCCAGUAGGGGCCGGGUACGACAAAAAAGUUACUCCAGGGGUAACGGAGCUGUCGCGGGCGAGAGUCCACAUCGACCCCGCGGCUUGCUUCCCCGACGUCGGCACUCCUCAUCCUGGGGGUGCAGCAGCCCCCAAGGGCGGGGAUGUUCGCCCAUUAAAGAGGAACGUGAGCUGGGUUCAGAGCGUCGCGAGACAGCUCGGUUUCUACCUGCUGGGGGUGCAGGCCGCCUGAGGGGAAGGCGCCCUUAUUACGAAAGGAACGGGGCGCCGCGGCCUCUGGUGUACCGGUUGUCCCAAAAGGGCAGCGCCGGGCAGCUACGCCGCAGCUGAUAAGAGCUGAAAGCAUCUAAGCUCGAAGCAGCCCCCGAAAAUAGGCGGCCGGUCCAGCGCUCCUCGGAGCGCUGGGAGAGGGCCUGGGUAAAAGACCCGCUUGAUGGGGUGGGGGUGUAAGC
rnacentral:rRNA from 1 species